rnacentral:rRNA from 1 species
AUUGAACGCUGGCGGCAUGCCUUACACAUGCAAGUCGAACGGUAACAGGCCGCAAGGUGCUGACGAGUGGCGAACCGGUGAGUAAUGCAUCGGAACGUGCCCAGUCGUGGGGGAUAACGCAGCGAAAGCUGCGCUAAUACCGCAUACGAUCUAUGGAUGAAAGCGGGGGACCGUAAGGCCUCGCGCGAUUGGAGCGGCCGAUGUCAGAUUAGGUAGUUGGUGGGGUAAAGGCUCACCAAGCCAACGAUCUGUAGCUGGUCUGAGAGGACGACCAGCCACACUGGGACUGAGACACGGCCCAGACUCCUACGGGAGGCAGCAGUGGGGAAUUUUGGACAAUGGGCGCAAGCCUGAUCCAGCAAUGCCGCGUGCAGGAAGAAGGCCUUCGGGUUGUAAACUGCUUUUGUACGGAACGAAACGGUCCUGGUUAAUACCCGGGGCUAAUGACGGUACCGUAAGAAUAAGCACCGGCUAACUACGUGCCAGCCGCCGCAGUAAAAC